UACGUAGGGACCGAGCGUUGUCCGGAAUCAUUGGGCGUAAAGAGCGCGUAGGCGGCCACUUAAGUCCUGCGUGAAAUCCUGCGGCUCAACCGCAGGCGGUCGUGGGAAACUGGGUGGCUAGAGUGCGGGAGAGGAGAGUGGAAUACCUGGUGUAGCGGUGGAAUGCGCAGAUAUCAGGAAGAACACCCGUGGCGAAGGCGGCUCUCUGGAACGCAACUGACGCUGAGACGCGAAAGCGUGGGGAGCAAACAGG
rnacentral:rRNA from 1 species